AAAUGAAACAACAAAGGGCGCACACGCCGUAAAACCACAACAUCGGAAAAGGAAUUAUUUGUUUUUCAGCCUGAUUCUUCUCUCUCCUCUCCCUACUUUUUUUCUUUUUCCUCUCUAUCCU
rnacentral:ribozyme from 14 species